CUGUGAGAUUUCUGCUUCAGCCCAAUAGUCCCUGGAGUGCGAUGAUACAUGCCAAGCAUGGCACUUGGGCCUGCGUGGACGAUAUUCAUGCCAGUUGGAGCAGCUCUUGUAUAUGGAAGGAGAUUUGUUGUUGUGCUCUAGAUGUUCUGGCCUAGAUAAUGUGGCUGCUAGGGGAUGGGUACAGUCGAUUGACCUCCUACAAGAUCCAUGGUUGUCCUAGCUCCCUCUGAGUUAGUGGCCGACCUUCAUUAGUAUGGAGAUUGGCGAUAGGGUGUGGAUGUGUGACCUUUUAUAGGCACAGGAGAGGAGUUGGGAUGCGGAGCUGGUUGUUAGGCUCUUCGGUGAUUAGCUGGUGGAGAGUGAUGUCUCUAGCAAUCCCCUAUUUAGGAGGGAUCGAAUGUUAGGGUUUGACAGUCAUCAUGCAUCUCUAGGGCAGUGAUCAGUGAGCUCUAUGAGAUCUACAGGGGUGAGCUGAUGAGGAUAAUGGAUGGUGUCUAGAUCUGAAGGCUUCGGAUCCAUCUCAAGGUCAGUCUGUUUUUCUAGAAGGUGGUAUAGUUUCGGCUACCUACCAAAGUUUUGCUACGAGCAAAGGAAUGGGCAUUCCAACUUCCUAUCCGUGCUGCGCUUUGGAGGAUGAGAUGGUGGAGUAUACUCUUUCUUUGCCACAGAGCCAGACGGGUGUUGCACUUGGUCACCCCCCCUUUCCUAGUUGAUGUAGGAGAGUACCUUGUCUAGUCCAUUAUGAAGGCUGU
rnacentral:lncRNA from 1 species